rnacentral:rRNA from 1 species
CAGAGGUCCCAAGCGUUGUUCGGAUUUACUGGGCGUAAAGGGUGCGUAGGCGGUCGGGUAAGUCUGAUGUGAAAUCUCUGGGCUCAACCCAGAAAUGGCAUUGGAUACUAUUCGGCUAGAGAGUUGGAGGGGGGACUGGAAUACUUGGUGUAGCAGUGAAAUGCGUAGAUAUCAAGUGGAACACCAGUGGCGAAGGCGAGUCCCUGGACAACUUCUGACGCUGAGGCACGAAAGCUAGGGGAGCAAACAGGAUUAGAUACCCUGGUAGUCCUAGCUGUAAACGGUGCUUAUUUGCUGUAAAAGGAAUCGACCCCUUUUGUGGCGUAGCAAACGCGUUAAAUAAGCCGCCUGGGAAGUACGGUCGCAAGAUUA